AUUGAACGCUGGCGGCAUGCCUUACACAUGCAAGUCGAACGGUAACAGGUCUUCGGAUGCUGACGAGUGGCGAACGGGUGAGUAAUACAUCGGAACGUGCCUAGUAGUGGGGGAUAACUACUCGAAAGAGUGGCUAAUACCGCAUGAGAUCUACGGAUGAAAGCAGGGGAUCGCAAGACCUUGUGCUACUAGAGCGGCCGAAGGCCGAGUAGGUAGUUGGUGGGAUAAAAGCUUACCAAGCCGACGAUCUGGAGCUGGUAUAAGAGGACGAUACGCCACACUGGGACUGCGACACGACCCAGACUCCUCCGGGAGGCAGCAGUGGGGAAUUUUGGACAAUGGGCGCAAGCCUGAUCCAGCAAUGCCGCGUGCAGGAUGAAGGCCUUCGGGUUGUAAACUGCUUUUGUACGGAACGAAAAGCCCCGGGUUAAUACCCUGGGGUCAUGACGGUACCGUAAGAAUAAGCACCGGCUAACUACGUGCCAGCCGCCGCCGUAA
rnacentral:rRNA from 1 species